GGGCUCGACUCGGGAACCGAGGACCGGGAACAGGGCGGGGACGAGGCCCGGGCACCGCGGCUUGCUCAGCGUGCCCUGCCCUACGGCCAUUGGACCAUGGCUGGAGGCCGGGGAGGGCGGUGGCCUGUCGGCGGGGAAGGCACUUAUGUCCGGAAAAAGAUUAACAAGGCCUAUGACGUAUCACAUUUCUGCCAGGAGCUUCUUUUUUUAGGAGUUCUCAGGAACUAAACGUCUAAAGCCGUCAGACGUGACUCUCUUGAAAAAUAUCUCUGACAGCCUGAGGGGAGCAAGGCCUGUUGCAGCUCAGCCAUCAUCCUGCAGGGAUUGUUCUAAGAAGAACUGGGACUCAACAGCAAAGAUUUGUAAAUAUCCCCCCUCCCCCACCCAGCACCCCCCUCCCCCAUUUGAGGGUUAGUUUGUUGCUAUGUAUUGUAAUGCUAAAUUCUGUAUCCCGGAGGACUAAAUUGCCUCAAGACAAGUGCUUCUGUGCAAACCUUGUUUAAAACGAUUGGUUCAAUAAAGAUGCCUGCAGCUGGGCAGAAGAAA